CGGGCUAUAGCGCAGCUUGGUAGCGCGUCCGUCUGGGGGACGGAAGGUCGUGAGUUCGAAUCUCGCUAGCCCGACCA
rnacentral:tRNA from 3 species